rnacentral:rRNA from 1 species
UACAUGGGGUGCAACCGUUGCUCGGAAUUAUUGGGCGUAAAGCGCGCGUAGGCGGUUACUUAAGUCGGAUGUGAAAGCCCUCGGCUUAACUGAGGAAGUGCACCCGAAACUGAGUAGCUAGAGUACGAAAGAGGGUCGCGGAAUUCCCGGUGUAGAGGUGAAAUUCGUAGAUAUCGGGAGGAACACCAGUGGCGAAGGCGGCGACCUGGGCCAAUACUGACGCUGAGGUGCGAAAGCGUGGGGAGCAAACAGG